rnacentral:rRNA from 1 species
AUUGAACGCUGGCGGGAUGUGUUACACAUGCAAGUCGAACGGCAGCACGGGAGCGAUCCUGGUGGCGAGAGGCGAACACGUGAGUAAUACAUCGGAACGUGCCCAACCGUGGGGGAUAACGCAGCGAAAGCUGUGUUAAUACCGCAUAUGAUCUACGGAUGUGAAGCGGGGGGAUCCCAAGACCUUGCGCGAAAGGGGGGGGCCGAUAGCGGAUUAGGGAGUUGGGGGAGGGAAAGGUUCACCAAGCCGUCAAUCUGUGGCGGGGCUUGGGAGGCGACCCAGCCCCACUGGGGACUGGGACACGGCCCCGACUCCUACGGGGGGGAGCAGUGGGGGAAUUUUGGGCAAUGGGGGAAAGCUUUUUCCCGACCUGCCGCCUUGGGGGGUGAAGGGCCUUGGGGUUUUAAAUUGUUUUUUUAUCGAACAAAAAGGCCCUUUUUUUAUUAAAAAGGGGGAAAGGCGGUCCCGUAAAAAAAGGGCCCGGUAACUACGUGCCAAGAGCCCCGGUAAAACCUGGGGGGCAGCGUUAAACCGAAAUACUGGGCUAAAACGUGCGCAGCGGUAUUUUAGACAUUUUGAAACCCCGGGGUCACCUGGGACUGCAUUUUUGAUUCCUAGCUAGGGACCCGAAGGGGAUGGAUUUCCCGCUAGAGUGAAAUCGUAGAUUUGCGGAGAAAACGAUGCGAGGCAUUUCCUGGCUUUAUGAGCUCAUCCCAAAACUGGGAGAAACAGGAUAGAUACCUGGAUCCAGGGGAAUCCCAUUGGUGUGCCCGGGUCACUAGUCUAAGGGCCACCGGGCUCCAUCGCUAUUGGGGAGAUUCGGCCUCAUUCCCUUUACACGUCCGUCUGGAAUCCCUGGUAACAACUUAUCCUUGAUAUAUCCUUUGCUGUGAGAUAAGCGAAGCCUCAGAUAAGUUUGGCUAGCUGUUACGAUGUU